CGCUUUGUGUCACAACAGAGCACAGAUUCCAGCAGUGAUGUAAACAGGUACUAAGCACUCUAGCCCAUUCCAAUUGCAGACAAUAUGCUUCCUGUUUGUAUGUGGCCCGGCUGUGUUCAAAGGACUCAAAUCGGAUGACUUGGAUUAGGAUGUCCCAUUAGGAGACGUUUCCUAACAUGUGGAAAUGGAAAAGCAGGAUAAUCACCAGGGAGAAGUAGCAGGACGUCUCCUCGGGAAGGCUACCAACAACACAAACAAACAAGCAAAGAGAACAGUAACAAUAACAACAAACAAACAGCGAUCAGGCAAGGAUGUAGAGAAAAAGGAACUCCAGUGCACUGUUACUUGACAGGUAAAAUGAGUUGAUCUGCAGGGAACUUUUAGAGUGUUCCAGGGCAAUUAAUAAAGAGAUUUGCUGUGACAGCAAUGGG